rnacentral:lncRNA from 1 species
ACUGCCCAACUGCCACUGCCCAGCCUGAUGGCUCCACAUCUCAGGAGUAGGCUCUGAUUCCUUGGGGCCCCAGGAGCCUCUCAGGAGUCUACAUCCCAAGAUGUUCUAACUUCCAGAGUCUCCAAGCCCAUCAAGAGCAAGUUUUGCUAAAAGUGUUCUGAGAGCUUAUGAAGCACAUGGACAAGGAAGGGUUGUGCAUCCGGCUUUCCACCUUAAACUGGUUUCUAUGGUGCUUCAUCGAUGAGAUAAGGAUGCAUAGGAGACCCCAGGCCAGGAGUUCCUUCAGGACACACUGUCCUAGGCCUGGGCCCUGGAGGAGGACAUGGUGAUGAGGCACCCUGAGGCCUCCAUGGGGGAACUGAGAAGCAUGCACUGUGACCUGCACACCCAGCCAAACCUGAGCAAGCACCCCCACCACCCAGGCCUCUGCAGAUAUCCCCCAGCAUUGAGACCCUCCCCAAGGGGAUGGGCUGCUUCUCCCUGGCCCACAGCCCAGCUCCAGCAGCCCAUGGGUAUAGCCCUCCUGAAACAGGAGCCUCAUCCUCCCUCACCCUCACCUGGCUAUGCUGUACCCAAGGCCAAAGCCCAGAGGCAUAAGGGAGCUUCUGCAGAGCCCAGGACAGCAGGCUGCUCUCUGGGGGCCCUGGGGACUCAGAGUGUGGCCAGCCCAUCCCCAGCUCAGGAUAGACCACAGAGUGCUUGGUGAUUCCUGCAUUGGAACUCCCUCUCUAAGCUCCCCAUGGACCUGGACCUCAGAGGUCUGUGGUUUUCACAGUAGAGCUUGGAGCAGAGAUGCUAGGCCCCUAUCACUUCCAUAUGUGUCCUGGACACCUCUAAGAUCAUAGGACUGGCCUAGCCCCCAAUACCAGACACUGCCCAGCCCCCUGAUAGCCCAGAGGUAGGGCCAGAGACAACUCUCCUGCAUGUGAUGCCUACAGCUGAUCACUCUUGGCAGACAGUGAACAUCACGGCCCAGAAGGAGCCAGGGCAGCACUUGGCAAGCUGCCCCAAAGCCCCAGAGAGCUCCUUAGACAUGGAAAGUCAAUACUGAUGGGGAAGCUGGACACUUGGAGGCCACUGGAGGGAGGGGUGAGCAUGGUGUCCCCACAGCCCAGGCCACCCAGCAGCAUGCCCUGCAUCCAUGGUCCCAACCUGUAGGGCAGAACCCCCCUCUCAAUGCACAAUUCCUAGACCCAGAGGGCCCUAGCCCAGACUCAACCUGAGCCCUGAAAGGGAAGGGGCACCAGGGGUGCCUUGGGGCCUCCAGCAGCAGCCAAGAUACACAGGAGAUGGAGCCCCCUGUGGCCCUGGCCAGAACUAGUAUUUGGCUUAAGGCGGAGCAAGCCCCCUUGGAGCACUGCGUACAUACCCGGGGCCUAUGUGUGCCUGGCAAGGCCAAGCUGAUGAUGUUACCAAGCUCAAACUACCACUGGCCACCUUGGUGAGGGUGGGGCAGAAACACGUGGACCAGCCACCAACCUCAUCCAUUCAAGGAAGCAGAAAUGGUCAGGCUCCUGCAGGAUAAGUGGCCACCACCAGACCACCAAUGGGGCAGAGUUCUGAGGCCCAAGCAGAUGGCACUGGGGCCCUGCUUCCAGGGUCCACAAUCUGCUCCAGGACACAAGACUGAAGAAAACUAAGCAAAUGAGAGUCCAGGAGGCUGGAUCCCUCAUCUGCCAUUCUUGGCAGUUGCAUUUUGUGGUCAGAAAAAGUCAGGAAACUUGGCUCUACUCACUGCAGGAGGCUCCAAGGUGGGACCAGAGCUUCCAGCAUAGAUUCAACAAUGCCUAAGAAUGCCUCUUCUUGGGGAAAAGGACCCCUUCCUUGGCCUCAAAGCCCCCACUUAUUUUGAUUAAAGCACAAUAAAGUCUUUGUUGUUA